GACGAACGCUGGCGGCGUGCCUAAUACAUGCAAGUUGAGCGCUGAAGGUUGGUACUUGUACCAACUGGAUGAGCAGCGAACGGGUGAGUAACGCGUGGGGAAUCUGCCUUUGAGCGGGGGGCAACAUUUGGAAACGAAUGCUAAUACCGCAUAAAAACUUUAAACACAAGUUUUAAGUUUGAAAGAUGCAAUUGCAUCACUCAAAGAUGAUCCCGCGUUGUAUUAGCUAGUUGGUGAGGUAAAGGCUCACCAAGGCGAUGAUACAUAGCCGACCUGAGAGGGUGAUCGGCCACAUUGGGACUGAGACACGGCCCAAACUCCUACGGGAGGCAGCAGUAGGGAAUCCUCGGCAAUGGACGAAAGUCUGACCGAGCAACGCCGCGUGAGUGAAGAAGGUUUUCGGAUCGUAAAACUCUGUUGGUAGAGAAGAACGUUGGUGAGAGUGGAAAGCUCAUCAAGUGACGGUAACUACCCAGAAAGGGACGGCUAACUACGUG
rnacentral:rRNA from 1 species